AAAAAGAAACAUGGCUGCUUCCAUGAAGUUUGUGUUCGGAAAUGCCAGGGAUGUAUUUUGUAGAAAACUUGAUUCUUUGGAAAACAACCAUGAUUGGAAAGAAAUAUUCCAGUCAGUUUGCGGAAGUGAAGCUGAGAAAAAAUUGGCUGCAGAUCAGGCAUUGCGAGACAGCAUGAAGGAUGUAGUUAUGAGGGCGGAUGAUUGUGAAGAGUACAAAAAAGUCAUCUUACAUUCCAUAGAAAUGGCAAAGGAAGAUUUGUGUUCUGUAAUCAUGCCAUUCGUACUUCUGUCUGAUAUAUUUGACUUGAUCACAUUGAGUCAGUGUGAAAUUGUCUUCUACUUAGUGGAGGAGAAACUACCUGUGUGGAAAACACCACUGUUUUAUGAUUCUGGGAAAAACUAUCUUUUAAGGAUGUGCAAUGAUCUGCUCAGAAGGUUGAGCAAGUCACAGAAUACAGUUUUCUGUGGCAGAAUUCAGCUGUUCUUGUCAAGAUUGUUCCCGUUGUCAGAAAAAUCAGCUUUGAAUCUCAUGAGUCAGUUUAACCUCGAAAAUGUCACAGUGUUUUCCACAAAGUCAGAGGAAGUCAAGCCCAAAUCUCAUGAUAUUUCUGAUGAUGUCAUGGAGGUUGAAGAAGGGGAAAUGGAAGAUCUCACAGGGUCAACACCAGUUGAUUACAACUUGUACAGGAGGUUUUGGGCACUUCAGGAUUACUUUAGAAAACCUACACAGUGUUAUGAUAAAGUCCCUUGGAAAGCAUUUCAGCAGAAUGCUGAUGUAGUACUGAAUGCCUUUGCCAGUGCAAAGCUGGAUGACAUGAAAUCAUCACGAAGGAAACUAGAUUUACCUCGGCCGGCAGACACAAGAGCAUUCUUUGCCAAAUAUUUAACCAGUGAAAAGUUGCUGGACCUGCAAUUGAAUGACAGUAAUUUCAGAAGAUAUGUGCUGGUUCAGUUCCUCAUCCUUUUCCAAUAUUUAAAUUCACAAGUUAAAUUCAAAAGUGCCAGUCAAAAUCUUUCUGAUGAACAGAAUCAGUGGAUCAAAACAAUACAGGAUAAAGUUUACCAGCUAAUCAGAGAAACUCCUCCUGAUGGAGAGCAGUUCUGUAAGAUAGUGCAGCAUAUCUUAGCAAGAGAAGAACACUGGAAUAAGUGGAAAAAUGAUGGAUGCCCAGACUUUGCAAGAAAACCUGUUGCAGAAGACACAAAAAUAAAGUCUAGAGCAAAAAGACGAUGGGUAGGAGAUGAUCUUCAAGCACAUGGAGGGAAAAUUAUCAAAAUGGGCAGUGCAGAGCUCACUAGAUUAUGGAACAUCAAUCCAGAUAACAUGGAAGCCUGCAAAGCAGAGAAGAGGUCAGAAAUAAUUACAAAUAUCAAAAUAACAUUUCAUUCCAAUGCAUGAUCACCUUUGAAAUAUUUUUGGUUCAAGAUAGAAAACUUUAAGUUUCACAUAUACAUUUAUUUCUUUCAUCUUUCUUGUAUCUGAUUCAACUCAACUCCUUUAAAACUUGCCAGGAGGUAUGGACACAUAAAAUGAUAAAUUUUAAUAAUUUAUCAUUGUUACAGGAAAACUUCUUGUUACAUUGUUUUCGAUGUUUUGUAGGGUAUUUUUACCUUCAUUAGAAGAUUUCUUUGCUGAAGCCAUGGAGCAAGCUGAUCCUGAGGCUAAAGUUGAGGAACAGUACAAAAUGGUGAAUAAUCCUGUAUUCCAAUGGAAGUCGCUUAGACUUCUAGCGAGACAAAGCCCCCAUUUCUUUGGUCAGCACCACACUCCUGCCAUGCCUCUCCCUCAGUACUUGGAACUUAUGCUAAACAAGAUAGCACAAGAGUUGCCAUCCACAGGCUCCAAUGGAGAUGUAGCACCAGAGGGAAACAAUGAGGAAAUGAAGACAGAGGUGGGAGAUGAUGAGGCUAUUAAAGAGUCCCAGGAAGUAGAAGAUGAAGAACUCAAGGCUCAGGCAGAGGAAGCAGGACGAGAAGAAAUACCAGAGGACAUUCUGUCAAAGGAUCAAAUAGAACUUGUUGCUGAAAAGCUUGGUGAGGACUGGAAAAGGCUUGGCACAGAGUUAAACUUCCCUGAAGAUGACAUGAGCUAUUUUGAGACAGAAAACAAUGAACAAGUAGCUUGUGCAAAAAAGAUGUUGACUAUUUGGCAGGAAAAUGAGGGUGAUAGAGCAACAGCUGGUACCUUAAAGAUAGCACUGAAGGAAGUGGGGCUGACCGAAGUGAUAGAUGCUGUGUUUGGAUCUACAUGAAGCACUCUAUUAAAAGGACUUUUUGAAAGAGCAUUUGUAAAAAUGAACUGCUCUUAUUAUCUAGUUUCAAUUCAAUUGUAAAAAUUAGUUUUAUUUUCAUGUUGUUAUCAAUGGAUUUUUGUUCAUCAGUCAAUAUGAAUCCAAUUACAUGUGAAAUUUAGUAA
rnacentral:misc_RNA from 1 species